CAGUGACUUCAAGGGAAGCCCUCACACUGGACAAAACUGGAGUCGUCAGUCAAGGUGCCUGUGUACCUUGACAGCAGUGACAACCAGGACCGUCUUUUUAAUUUUUUGUUUUCAGUGCUGCAGAGAACAAACACACAACUGUCCUUCAGUGAUCCCAUCAAGUUCAUCAUGGAUGUUCUUUUUCCAGAGGUAUUUCAAGCCCAGUUCUUUUGUUUU
rnacentral:lncRNA from 1 species